ACGCUCGACACCUACGGUAGGCAGCAGUUGGGAAUAUUGGACAAUGGAGGAAACUCUGAUCCAGUGACGCCGCGUGAAGGAAGAAGGUCUUCGGAUUGUAAACUUAUUUUGUCAGGGAAGAAAAAAUGACUGUACCUGAAGAAAAAGCACCGGCUAACUACGUGCCAGCAGCCGCGGUAAUCUGAGCGGGCUGGCAAGGC
rnacentral:rRNA from 1 species